rnacentral:rRNA from 1 species
GACGAACGCUGGCGGCGUGCUUAACACAUGCAAGUCGAACGGAAAGGCCCUGCUUUUGUGGGGUGCUCGAGUGGCGAACGGGUGAGUAACACGUGAGUAACCUGCCAUUGACUUUGGGAUAACUUCAGGAAACUGGGGCUAAUACCGGAUAGGAGCUCCUGCUGCAUGGUGGGGGUUGGAAAGUUUCGGCGGUUGGGGAGGGACUCGCGGCUUAUCAGAUUGUUGGUGGGGUAGUGGCCUACCAAGGCUUUGACCGGUAGCCGGCCUGAGAGGGUGACCGGCCACAUUGGGACUGAGAUACGGCCCAGACUCCUACGGGAGGCAGCAGUGGGGAAUAGUGCACUAUGGGCGGAAGCCUGAUGCAGCAACGCCGCGUGCGGGAUGACGGCCUUCGGUUUGUAAUCCGCUUUCGCCUGUGACGAAGCGUGAGUGACGGUAAUGGGUAAAUAAGCACCGGCUAACUACGUG